rnacentral:rRNA from 1 species
AUACGUAGGGGGCGAGCGUUGUCCGGAAUGAUUGGGCGUAAAGGGCGCGUAGGCGGCGCGGUAAGUCUGGAGUGAAAGUCCUGCUUUCAAGGUGGGAAUUGCUUUGGAUACUGCCGCGCUUGAGUGCAGGAGAGGUUAUCGGAAUUCCCGGUGUAGCGGUGAAAUGCGUAGAGAUCGGGAGGAACACCAGUGGCGAAGGCGGGUAACUGGACUGCAACUGACGCUGAGGCGCGAAAGUGUGGGGAGCAAACAGGAUUAGAUACCCUGGUAGUCCACACUGUAAACGAUGAAUGCUAGGUGUAGGGGGUAUCGACCCCUUCUGUGCCGCAGUCAACACAAUAAGCAUUCCGCCUGGGGAGUACGGCCGCAAGGUUGAAACUCAAAUGAAUUGGCGGGG